GGAGAUGUAGCUCAGUGGUAGAGUACUUGCCUAACAUGCAAAAGGCCCUGAGUUCAAUCCUCAGUACUA
rnacentral:tRNA from 1 species